AACAUAGCUUAAAAGAUGCGGAUUUCCCGUUUGGUGAUAAUGUAUUUGAAAUUUUUUUCGGACUUUAAGUUAUCAUAUGAGAAAAAUAGAAAAAGAUUAGAAAUAUUUGAUUAACCGAACUCCACUCAGAAUUUGUUUUUUGCUAGCGAUAAUUCAUCGUUACUUUCACUGCUAACAAUAAUUAAACUAAAUAAUCCAUCUUGCCUAUGUCUAUCUUCCCAACUUUCCACCCAAAACCGUGACCUACCCGUAAUGCGGAGUUUACUUUUUUAAAAUUUAAAUUGCCAAAAAUAUCAUAGAAUUGGUAAAUACUGAUAAUACGGUAUUAUUGUAAUACCAAUCACACCGUCAAUACCGAAUAUUCGGCACCUAAUCCGUCUAUUAUCGUAAUCUUUACCUGUUCGGGCUAAAGUGCACGUCACUGAAUAUUCGGUAUAUCGUUUAUAACCGUUUAACUUUAAAUACCGAAAAUUUGAAAACUUCAAAUACCACCAGCCCUAACCUAUUUAUUAAAUUCUUUAGGGUUUAUUUUUUUUUUUUUACAUUAUAAUCGCCAAAUAGGUUUAAAUACCUAUUAUACAAUUAUUAAAAUGAAAAAAGAAAAAUCGUUAAAAUAAAAUAGUGAUUACAAAAUGGCCUAUGUAGUAAAAAAUAAUAUACCUAUACAUAUUUUGUUGUCCUAAAACCUAACUUAACAGGCUAAUCCUACCGGUUGCAACAAUCCGGUGAUUUCAUAAUAUAGACCUGAAGUGAUACUGGUAUGUUAAUUGUUGACAUAUGUUUUAAAUAAUUUUCGUCAGUACCUGAGUUAAGAUUGAACGUGGUAUUUGUCUCCUUAUCGGCAGUAUAUUUGUUGGCUAUUCGAAAUAUAUGUGUGACCAUUACUAUAAAUAGAUAUUUACCUACCUAAGUACCUACUGCAUUCCCACUGUUGACGUAAAAUAUAUAGUUUUUUAAAAUAUCGUGUAAAAAAACCGAAAAAGAAGUCGGGCGUUGU